rnacentral:rRNA from 1 species
AUUGAACGCUGGCGGCAGGCUUAACACAUGCAAGUCGAGCGGAGAUGAGGUGCUUGCACCUUAUCUUAGCGGCGGACGGGUGAGUAAUGCUUAGGAAUCUGCCUAUUAGUGGGGGACAACAUUCCGAAAGGAAUGCUAAUACCGCAUACGCCCUACGGGGGAAAGCAGGGGAUCUUCGGACCUUGCGCUAAUAGAUGAGCCUAAGUCGGAUUAGCUAGUUGGUGGGGUAAAGGCCUACCAAGGCGACGAUCUGUAGCGGGUCUGAGAGGAUGAUCGGCCACACUGGGACAGAGACACGGCCCAGACUCCUACGGGAGGCAGCAGUGGGGAAUAUUGGACAAUGGGCGGAAGCCUGAUCCAGCCAUGCCGCGUGUGUGAAGAAGGCCUUUUGGUUGUAAAGCACUUUAAGCGAGGAGGAGGCUACCUGGAUUAAUACUCUAGGAUAGUGGACGUUACUCGCAGAAUAAGCACCGGCUAACUCUGUGCCAGCCGCCGCCGUAAAAC